rnacentral:rRNA from 1 species
CAUGCAAGUCGAGCGGUAACAGAAAGUAGCUUGCUACUUUGCUGACGAGCGGCGGACGGGUGAGUAAUGCUUGGGAACAUGCCUUGAGGUGGGGGACAACAGUUGGAAACGACUGCUAAUACCGCAUAAUGUCUACGGACCAAAGGGGGCUUCGGCUCUCGCCUUUAGAUUGGCCCAAGUGGGAUUAGCUAGUUGGUGAGGUAAUGGCUCACCAAGGCAACGAUCCCUAGCUGGUUUGAGAGGAUGAUCAGCCACACUGGAACUGAGACACGGUCCAGACUCCUACGGGAGGCAGCAGUGGGGAAUAUUGCACAAUGGGCGAAAGCCUGAUGCAGCCAUGCCGCGUGUGUGAAGAAGGCCUUCGGGUUGUAAAGCACUUUCAGUCAGGAGGAAAGGGUGUGAGUUAAUACCUCACAUCUGUGACGUUACUGACAGAAGAAGCACCGGCUAACUCCGUGCCAGCAGCCGCGGUAAUACGGAGGGUGCGAGCGUUAAUCGGAAUUACUGGGCGUAAAGCGUACGCAGGCGGUUUGUUAAGCGAGAUGUGAAAGCCCCGGGCUCAACCUGGGAACUGCAUUUCGAACUGGCAAACUAGAGUGUGAUAGAGGGUGGUAGAAUUUCAGGUGUAGCGGUGAAAUGCGUAGAGAUCUGAAGGAAUACCUAUGGCGAAGGCAGCCACCUGGGUCAACACUGACGCUCAUGUACGAAAGCGUGGGGAGCAAACGGGAUUAGAUACCCCGGUAGUCCACGCCGUAAACGAUGUCUACUAGAAGCUCGGAACCUCGGUUCUGUUUUUCAAAGCUAACGCAUUAAGUAGACCGCCUGGGGAGUACGGCCGCAAGGUUAAAACUCAAAUGAAUUGACGGGGGCCCGCACAAGCGGUGCAGCAUGUGGUUUAAUUCGAUGCAACGCGAAGAACCUUACCUACACUUGACAUACAGAGAACUUUCUAGAGAUAGAUUGGUGCCUUCGGGAACUCUGAUACAGGUGCUGCAUGGCUGUCGUCAGCUCGUGUUGUGAGAUGUGGGUUAAGUUCCGCAACGAGCGCCACCUCUAUCCUAGUGGCUAGCAGGUAAUGCUGAGAACUCUAAGGAGACUGCUGGUGAUAACCGGAGGAA